rnacentral:rRNA from 1 species
GAUGAACGCUGGCGGCGUGCCUAAUACAUGUAAGUCGAGCGAAGCGGGGACGGGUGAGUAACACGUGGAUAACCUCCUAUAAGACUGGGAUAAAUUCGGGAAACCGUAGCUAAACCGGAUAUUUAUAGAUGGAUCCGCGCUGCAUUUGCUAGGUGGUAAGGUAACGGCUUACCAAGGCAACGAUGCAUAGCCGACCUGAGAGGGGAAUCGGCCACACUGGAAUGGGGACCCGUUCCAGACUCCUACGGAAGGCAGCGUUAGGGAAUCUUCCGCAAGGGGCGAAAGCCUGACGGAGCAACGCCGCGUGAGUGAUGAAGGUCUUCGGAUCGUAAAACUCUGUUAUUAGGAAAUCGGUACCUAAUCAUAAAGCCACGGCUAACUACGUGCCAGCCGCCGCGGUAAUAC